rnacentral:rRNA from 1 species
CGGUAUUAUGACCGUGCGAAGGUAGCAUAAUCAUUAGUCUUUUAAUUGAAGGCUGGAAUGAAUGGUUGGACGAGAAAUAAGCUGUCUUUGUCUUAUAAAUUGAAUUUAACUUUUAAGUGAGAGGGCUUAAAUGUAUUAAAGGGACGAUAAGACCCUAUAAAGUUUAUACAUUCAAAUAAUUGAAAAUAAUUAAGAAAAAUUAAAGUUUAUUAUUAGGAAGAUGUUUAGUUGGGGCGACUAGGAUAUAAGUUAAUUUAACUGUCUUAAAUUAAAGUCAAAGAUAUUUGAGUUUGUGAUCCUUUUUUAGGAUUCAAGAACAAGUUACUUUAGGGAUAACAGCGUAAUUUUUUUUGAGAGUUCCUAUCGACAAAAGAGUUUACGACCUCGAUGUUGAAUUAAAAGUUUCUCUGGAGUGUAGCAAUUCCAGGAGAAGG